AAAGGUUAAGAACCACUGCUUUAGAUGAUGAAGAGUAAAGCUGUGCUACAACCAUUGCUAAUGGUGAGUAUUGAUCUCCAAAGAUUGUUGGAGGCUUUGUCCUUCCAAUGGACAAAUCCAGGGCUCGUGUCUUCCCACUUCCCCUGUCCCUGCCCAAAAGGGUGGAGAAUUUUAGAAGACAUUUUUUGCACAGUUGUUGUUGAUGCAAAUGCAGGUACCAUCUCUUUCCUUAACAGAGAAGCAGGAAAGAACGGUGGCUUAUGAAUGGAGGAGGUGGAAGGAACGGUGGCUCCAUGAAUGGAGGAGGUGGAAGGAACGGUGGCUCCAUGAAUGGAGGAGGUGGAAGGAACGGUGGCUCCAUGAAUGGAGGAGGUGGAAGGAACGGUGGCUCCAUGAAUGGAGGAGGUGGAAGGAACGGUGGCUCCAUGAAUGGAGGAGGUGGAAGGAACGGUGGCUCCAUGAAUGGAGGAGGUGGAAGGAACGGUGGCUCCAUGAAUGGAGGAGGUGGAAGGAACGGUGGCUCCAUGAAUGGAGGAGGUGGAAGGAACGGUGGCUCCAUGAAUGGAGGAGGUGGAAGGAACGGUGGCUCCAUGAAUGGAGGAGGUGGAAGGAACGGUGACUCCAUGGACGGAGGAGGUGGAAGGAAUGGUGGCUCCAUGAACGGAGGAGGUGGAAAGAAUGGUGGCUCUGUGGAUGGAAGAGACUCAGACACUAGAGUGAUCGGAAGUUCAAGAUAUCCCUCCAAGGAGAAAAUGUCAAAAGAGACUGUCAGUUAUGUAGUCACAUAUUCUUAAUGAUUUAAAUAUAACAGGUUGUGCAGAAAAGCAGAGAAGUCUACUCAAUCUCCGCAACAAUGACCAUUUCAAGGUUUACUCAUCUACUGUCAUUCAGCCUCCAGAAAAGCUUACUAUAAGAUGAAGAUUGUAUUUCACUUCACAUUGUGGUGUAUGUUUUUUUUUUUAAACCUGCAUAAUAAACAAAUUGCAUGUUGCCGAAAUAUGUGUAUA
rnacentral:lncRNA from 1 species